GUAGGUGGCAAGCGUUGUCCGGAAUUAUUGGGCGUAAAGCGCGCGCAGGCGGUCCUUUAAGUCUGAUGUGAAAGCCCACGGCUCAACCGUGGAGGGUCAUUGGAAACUGGGGGACUUGAGUACAGAAGAGGAAAGCGGAAUUCCAAGUGUAGCGGUGAAAUGCGUAGAGAUUUGGAGGAACACCAGUGGCGAAGGCGGCUUUCUGGUCUGUAACUGACGCUGAGGCGCGAAAGCGUGGGGAGCAAACAGGGAUUAGAUACCCUGGUAGUCCACGCCGUAAACGAUGAGUGCUAAGUGUUAGGGGGUUUCCCGCCCCUUAGUGCUGCAGCUAACGCAUUAAGCACUCCGCCUGGGGAUACGGCCGCAAGGCCG
rnacentral:rRNA from 1 species